CCUGAACGCUGGCGGCGUGGCUAAGACAUGCAAGUCGUACGGGCGUAGCAAUACGUCAGUGGCGAACGGGUGAGUAAUGUAUCGCUAACGUACCCCGCAGUCAGGGAUAGCCGUCCGAAAGGACGGGUAAUACCUGGUGACACAACCUCCUCGCAUGGGGAGGUUUUCAAAGGGAAACCGCUGUGGGAGCGGGCGAUAUCGUAUCAGCUAGUUGGUAGGGUAACGGCCUACCAAGGCGACGACGCGUAGCCGGACUGAGAGGUUGGCCGGCCACAUUGGGACUGAGACACUGCCCAGACUCCUACGGGGGGCUGCAGUAACGAAUCUUCCGCAAUGCACGCAAGUGUGACGGAGCGACGCCGCGUGUGGGACGAAGCCCUUCGGGUGUAAACCACUGUCAGGGGAUAGAAAGUUCUGAUCAUCCCCACGAGGAAGGCACGGGCUAACUCUGUGGC
rnacentral:rRNA from 1 species